rfam:Setaria italica strain Yugu1 chromosome I, whole genome shotgun sequence.
UUGUUACUCCCUCCGUUCCAAAAUGUAGGUCGUUUUGACUUUUCUAGAUACGUAAACUUUGUUACAUAUAUAGACAUAACUUUGUAUUUAGGUGCAUAACAAAAUCUAUAUAUUUAGAAAAGUCAAUACGACCUACAUUUUGGAACGGAGGGAGUAUUAU